rnacentral:rRNA from 1 species
UCAGAGGUGAAAUUCUUGGAUUGACUGAAGACUAACUACUGCGAAAGCAUUUGCCAAGGACGUUUUCAUUAAUCAAGAACGAAAGUUAGGGGAUCGAAGAUGAUCAGAUACCGUCGUAGUCUUAACCAUAAACUAUGCCGACUAGGGAUCGGGUGGUGCUACUUUGCCCACUCGGCACCUUACGAGAAAUCAAAGUUUUUGGGUUCUGGGGGGAGUAUGGUCGCAAGGCUGAAACUUAAAGGAAUUGACGGAAGGGCACCACCAGGAGUGGAGCCUGCGGCUUAAUUUGACUCAACACGGGGAAACUCACCAGGUCCAGACGUAAUAAGGAUUGACAAGUUAGAGACUUCUCUUGAUCUUACGGGUGGUGGUGCAUGGCCGUUUUUAGUCCUUGGAGUGAUUUGUCUGCUUAAUU